rnacentral:hammerhead_ribozyme from 1 species
AUCCAGCUGAUGAGUCCUCAAUAAGACGAAACGCGCGUCCUGGAU